UGGUAUGAAAAUUUGCUUCAGUAUAUAUAACUUAUAAAUAUCCUCAAAUACUAACUGUUUUAAAACAUAUUAGUGAAACAAAAAAAUGCACGUAACAUGCGAAAGGCCAUCUUGCUAUCAAAACGAACUUCAGCACAAUCACAAGAUGCUACCUCACGGCCGCAUGUCUUACGACGCAUUCGCACCAGAAAAGAAGCAAUUGCAACACACAUUCUAAUUCAGAUAAGGGCUCUACAUCCAAAGUCGAAGAGGACCCAAUUGUAGCAUGCACAAAAUGCGGUGCACUAAUUUAGACUUCGGAGAGCACUUGUACGGACUCCAGAACUGGAGAACCAAAAUUCACAAUUUUCUGUAACCAUUGCCAAAUAAAGCUUCCACCGAUCAAGUAACCCCCAGCUUUAUUAGAAGAACUUUUCCAGUAUAGAGGGUUUCAAAAUACUAUCCGAGUCUACAAUUAUGUACUGGCUUUCACAUCCAUUAUAAUGAAAAUGGAUUAUAGUGUAGCGCAUACGCCUGGUCCUUACACUAUAUAAAUCCAAGGGCAGACCCACCAUAGAGUUGGCUCCCUUAUUCCACACCAAGGUCGUCUCCCAGAAUAUCUCCAGCUCUAUAUAUUUGAUACGAACAACGAAGUCAGAAACAGGCUAAACGCAAUGGGGCAAACCUCAACGGAAGGUAAUCUUGAUGAGAGAACCCUAGAGCGCCUCAUUGAGAUGAUUGAUGAGAAUAAUUGUUUAGCUAAGAUUUUCUGAAAGGCACGAGACUAUUACGAAAACGUCGGGAAAGAGUUAACUAUUAGAUUGCUGCCAGAAAAAAAGGGAAAAGGAAAGAAUACGAUCUUCCGAGUACGGAUGAGGUUGCAGGCCUUAUCGUAGGGGAUAUGUCAUCAACAGUUGGAGAACGCGAUAUAGUGGUCUAAUUCCAAUCUGACACUCUGCAGCAUAUACGUGAUGAUCUCCCUCUUUUCAUGAGCCUCCAAUAUCCUCUUCUGUUUCCAUAUGGUGAUUAUGGUUUUCACCCCUAGAUCCCACUACAUCAUGAAACAUGCACUUCAAGAACAAGGCAGUUCCUAACUAUACGCCAAUUCUACGCUGUGCAGAUACAUACACGUCUUAACCAAGGGAUGACAUUGAUUAAAGGCGGCCUUCUCCUCCAUCAGUAUGUUAUAGACAUUUAUACGGCAAUUCAAGAAGAUUGGCGAAGGUGGGCGAGGAAUAAUCAAGAUGUCUUGAGAGCCGAGCUCUACAGUAAUGUACUCGAUGCUGUUAGCAAGGGUGACACUGAUGCUAAAAUUAUUGGUCAAAGGUUCAUAUUGCCGCCAAGUUUCACCGGUGGACCCCGAUACUUAGUUGAGAAAUACCAUGAUGCGAUGGCUAUUUGCAGAGAAUAUGGGAAUCCAGAUCUGUUUAUCACAAUGACGGCCAGUCCUAAAUGGAGAGAGAUUGAAGAGAACCUUGCGAAAUAUGCUGGAGACUCUCCUAAUGAUAGACCAAACAUUGAGUGUGUUUCUUUAAGAUGAAAUUAGACCAGCUACUAAAAGAUUUCAAAAAAAUAAUUUUCUUUAGGCCAUACACCGCAGCU